CCUACGGGAGGCUGCAGUGGGGAAUAUUGGACAAUGGGCGAAAGCCUGAUCCAGCCAUGCCGCGUGUGUGAAGAAGGCCUUCGGGUUGUAAAGCACUUUCAGUGGGGAAGAAAGCCUUGGGGCUAAUACCCUCGAGGAAGGACAUCACCCACAGAAGAAGCACCGGCUAACUCCGUGCCAGCAGCCGCGGUAAUACGGAGGGUGCGAGCGUUAAUCGGAAUUACUGGGCGUAAAGCGCGCGUAGGCGGUCUGAUAAGCCGGUUGUGAAAGCCCCGGGCUCAACCUGGGAACGGCAUCCGGAACUGUCAGGCUAGAGUGCAGGAGAGGAAGGUAGAAUUCCCGGUGUAGCGGUGAAAUGCGUAGAGAUCGGGAGGAAUACCAGUGGCGAAGGCGGCCUUCUGGACUGACACUGACGCUGAGGUACGAAAGCGUGGGUAGCAAACAGGAUUAGAUACCCGUGUAGUC
rnacentral:rRNA from 1 species